rnacentral:rRNA from 1 species
GAGAGUUUGAUUCUGGCUCAGGAUGAACGCUAGCUAUAGGCUUAACACAUGCAAGUCGAGGGGUAACAGGGUUAAAGCUUGCUUUAAUCGCUGACGACCGGCGGAUGGGUGAGUAACACGUAUCCAACCUACCGCAUACACGGGGAUAGCUUUUCGAAAGAAAGAUUAAUACCCGAUGGUAUGAGAUCAACACCUGUUGGUUUCAUUAAAGAUUUAUCGGUAUGCGAUGGGGAUGCGUUCCAUUAGAUAGUUGGUAGGGUAACGGCCUACCAAGUCAGCGAUGGAUAGGGGUUCUGAGAGGAAGGUCCCCCACAUUGGAACUGAGACACGGUCCAAACUCCUACGGGAGGCAGCAGUGAGGAAUCUUGGUCAAUGGGCGCAAUGCCUGAACCAGCCAAUUAGCGUGAAGGAAGACUGCCCUUUGGGUUGUAACUUCUUUUAUAAGGGAAUAACGAUGGCAACGUGCUUGUCAUUUGCAUGUACCUUAUGAAUAAGGAUCGGCUUA